CGGGGCGUAGCUUAGCCCGGUAGAGCGCGUGCUUCGGGAGCACGAGGUCGCAGGUUCGAAUCCUGUCGCCCCGA
rnacentral:tRNA from 5 species